rnacentral:rRNA from 1 species
UACGAAGGGGGCUAGUGUUGUUCGGAAUUACUGGGCGUAAAGCGCACGUAGGCGGAUACUUAAGUUAGGGGUGAAAUCCCGGGGCUCAACCCCGGAACUGCCUUUAAUACUGGGUAUCUCGAGUUCGAGAGAGGUGAGUGGAAUUCCGAGUGUAGAGGUGAAAUUCGUAGAUAUUCGGAAGAACACCAGUGGCGAAGGCGACUUACUGGACACAUAUUGACGCUGAGGUGCGAAAGCGUGGGGAGCAAACAGG